UCAAGGACGAUUCGGUAGAGAAGAGGAAUUCAGCCAUUGUUUCUUCUUUGAAAGAGAAGGAUGCAGAGGAGAGUGGAAAAAAGAGGGCUGAAGAGAUAAG